AUUGAACGCUGGCGGCAGGCCUAACAAAUGCAAGUCGAGCGAGCGGCGGACGGGUGAUUAAUGUCUGGGAAACUGCCUGAUGGAGGGGGAUAACUACUGGAAACGGUAGCUAAUACCGCAUACCAUCAGCUGUGUCCAGCUGGGAUUAGCUGGUAGGUGGGGUAACUGCUCACCUAGGCGACGAUCCCUAGCUGGUCUGAGAGGAUGACCAGCCACACUGGAAAUGAGAAACGGGCCAGACUCCUACGGGAGGCAGCAGUGGGGAAUAUUGCACAAUGGGCGCAAGCCUGAUGCAGCCAUGCCGCGUGUGUGAAGAAGGCCUUCGGGUUGUAAAGCACUUUCAGCGGGGAGGCGUGACCCGCAGAAGAAGCACCGGCUAACUCCGUGCCAGCAGCCGCGGUAAUAC
rnacentral:rRNA from 1 species